UACAGAGGUCUCGAGCGUUGUUCGGAUUCAUUGGGCGUAAAGGGUGCGUAGGUGGCGCCGUAAGUCAGGUGUGAAAUUUCGGAGCUUAACUCCGAAACUGCAUUUGAUACUGCGGUGCUUGAGGACUGGAGAGGAGACUGGAAUUUACGGUGUAGCAGUGAAAUGCGUAGAGAUCGUAAGGAAGACCAGUGGCGAAGGCGGGUCUCUGGACAGUUCCUGACACUGAGGCACGAAGGCCAGGGGAGCAAACGGG
rnacentral:rRNA from 1 species